CGCUGGCGGCACGCCUAACACAUGCAAGUCGAACGGAGAUUACUUAGCUUGCUUGUAAUCUUAGUGGCGGACGGGUGAGUAACACGUGAGCAACCUGCCUCUGAGAGAGGGAUAGCUUCUGGAAACGGAUGGUAAUACCUCAUAACAUACAUUGACCGCAUGAUCAAUGUAUCAAAGAUUUAUCACUCAGAGAUGGGCUCGCGUCUGAUUAGCUAGUUGGUGAGGUAACGGCCCACCAAGGCGACGAUCAGUAGCCGGACUGAGAGGUUGAACGGCCACAUUGGGACUGAGACACGGCCAGACUCCUACGGGAGGCAGCAGUGAGGGAUAUUGCACAAUGGAGGAAACUCUGAUGCAGCGAUGCCGCGUGGAGGAAGAAGGUUUUCGGAUUGUAAACUCCUGUUUCGAGGGACGAUAAUGACGGUACCUCGGGAGGAAGCUCCGGCUAACUACGUGCCAGCAGCUGC
rnacentral:rRNA from 1 species